GACAGAGGGUGCAAACGUUGUUCGGAUUUACUGGGCGUAAAGCGCGUGUAGGCGGCUUUGCAAGUCGGAUGUGAAAUCCCACGGCUCAACCGUGGAAGUGCAUCCGAAACGGCAUGGCUGGAGUCCCGGAGAGGAAGGUGGAAUGCUUGGUGUAGAGGUGAAAUUCGUAGAUAUCAAGCAGAACACCUGCGGCGAAGGCGGCCUUCUGGACGGUGACUGACGCUGAGACGAGAAAGCGUGGGGAGCAAACAGG
rnacentral:rRNA from 1 species